AACGAACGCUGGCGGCAUGCCUAACACAUGCAAGUCGAACGAGAUCUUCGGGUCUAGUGGCGCACGGGUGCGUAACGCGUGGGAAUCUGCCCUUUGGUUCGGAAUAACAGUUGGAAACGACUGCUAAUACCGGAUGAUGACGAAAGUCCAAAGAUUUAUCGCCAGAGGAUGAGCCCGCGUAGGAUUAGCUAGUUGGUGUGGUAAAGGCGCACCAAGGCGACGAUCCUUAGCUGGUCUGAGAGGAUGAUCAGCCACACUGGGACUGAGACACGGCCCAGACUCCUACGGGAGGCAGCAGUGGGGAAUAUUGGACAAUGGGCGAAAGCCUGAUCCAGCAAUGCCGCGUGAGUGAUGAAGGCCUUAGGGUUGUAAAGCUCUUUUACCCGGGAUGAUAAUGACAGUACCGGGAGAAUAAGCUCCGGCUAACACCGUGCGAGCCGCCGCGGUAA
rnacentral:rRNA from 1 species